GACGAACGCUGGCGGCAUGCCUAAUACAUGCAAGUCGAGCGAACAGAUGAAGUGCUUGCACUUCUGACGUUAGCGGCGAACGGGUGAGUAACACGUAAGGAAUCUACCUAUAAGCGGGGGAUAACAUUCGGAAACGGGUGCUAAUACCGCAUAAUAUCUUCUUCCGCAUGGAAGAAGAUUGAAAGACGGCUCUGCUGUCACUUAUAGAUGACCUUGCGGUGCAUUAGUUAGUUGGUGGGGUAACGGCCUACCAAGACGAUGAUGCAUAGCCGACCUGGGAGGGUGACGGGCCACAUUGGGACUGGGACACGGCCCAAACGCCUACGGGAGGCAGAAGUAGGGAAUCUUCCGAAAUGGGCGAAAGCCUGACGGAGCAAUGCCGCGUGAGUGAAGAAGGCCUUCGGGUCGUAAAACUCUGUUAUAAGAGAAGAACAAAUUGUAGAGUAACUGCUACAGUCUUGACGGUAUCUUAUCAGAAAGCCACGGCUAACUACGUGCCAGCAGCCGCCGUAA
rnacentral:rRNA from 1 species